GAGCUCGUGGCGGCUGCUAUACAUGCAGUCGACGAACUUCCGUUAAUUGAUUAUGACGUACUUGUACUGAUUGAGAUUUUAACACGAAGUGAGUGGCGAACGGGUGAGUAACACGUGGGUAACCUGCCCAGAAGUAGGGGAUAACACCUGGAAACAGAUGCUAAUACCGUAUAACAGAGAAAACCGCAUGGUUUUCUUUUAAAAGAUGGCUCUGCUAUCACUUCUGGAUGGACCCGCGGCGUAUUAGCUAGUUGGUGAGGUAAAGGCUCACCAAGGCAGUGAUACGUAGCCGACCUGAGAGGGUAAUCGGCCACAUUGGGACUGAGACACGGCCCAGACUCCUACGGGAGGCAGCAGUAGGGAAUCUUCCACAAUGGACGCAAGUCUGAUGGAGCAACGCCGCGUGAGUGAAGAAGGGUUUCGGCUCGUAAAGCUCUGUUGUUAAAGAAGAACGUGGUAAGAGUAACUGUUUACCCAGUGACGGUAUUUAACCAGAAAGCCACGGCUAACUACGUGCCAGCAGCCGCGGUAAUACGUAGGUGGCAAGCGUUAUCCGGAUUUAUUGGGCGUAAAGCGAGCGCAGGCGGUCUUUUAAGUCUAAUGUGAAAGCCUUCGGCUCAACCGAAGAAGUGCAUUGGAAACUGGGAGACUUGAGUGCAGAAGAGGACAGUGGAACUCCAUGUGUAGCGGUGAAAUGCGUAGAUAUAUGGAAGACACCAGUGCGAAGGCGGCUGUCUGGUCUGCAACUGACGCUGAGGCUCGAAAGCAUGGGUAGCGAACAGGAUUAGAAUACCCUGGUAGUCCAUGCCGUAAACGAUGAUUACUAAGUGUUGGAGGGUUUCCGCCCUUCAGUGCUGCAGCUAACGCAUUAAGUAAUCCGCCUGGGGAGUACGACCGCAAGGUUGAAACUCAAAAGAAUUGACGGGGGCCCGCACAAGCGGUGGAGCAUGUGGUUUAAUUCGAAGCUACGCGAAGAACCUUACCAGGUCUUGACAUCCUUCUGACAGUCUUAAGAGAUUAGAGGUUCCCUUCGGGGACAGAAUGACAGGUGGUGCAUGGUUGUCGUCAGCUCGUGUCGUGAGAUGUUGGGUUAAGUCCCGCAACGAGCGCAACCCUUAUUACUAGUUGCCAGCAUUAAGUUGGGCACUCUAGUGAGACUGCCGGUGACAAACCGGAGGAAGGUGGGGACGACGUCAAAUCAUCAUGCCCCUUAUGACCUGGGCUACACACGUGCUACAAUGGAUGGUACAACGAGUCGCGAGACCGCGAGGUUAAGCUAAUCUCUUAAAACCAUUCUCAGUUCGGACUGUAGGCUGCAACUCGCCUACACGAAGUCGGAAUCGCUAGUAAUCGCGGAUCAGCAUGCCGCGGUGAAUACGUUCCCGGGCCUUGUACACACCGCCCGUCACACCAUGAGAGUUUGUAACACCCAAAGCCGGUGGGG
rnacentral:rRNA from 1 species